AAGACAUUUUGUUUUUUAAUUAAAAAUACAAGGAGUUAAUAUAUUUCUAAACACAGGAAAGUUGGUUUCUACUAAUGGUUAAAAAUAAAAGUUUUAUUUAUGGAAACUCACCUCCACACAUUUCAUUGUAAAUGAAAUAAAGUAGAUGUGGGUUCCCCAUAGCUUAUAUUUUAACUUCCGAGAUGCACUAUUUCAAAGAACACCAGUGCAUUCACAGUGGAAUGACAGAAGAUAAUAUAAUAUUUUUAGGAUUGGAAGUAUUUUAGUCACUGAGCAUCAAUUUUGUGCCUCGAUUCCACAUUUUUGUCUCGCAACAGCACUCUUUCAUGAACGUGCUGCUUGCUUCCCCUUUGACUAACCCCAUACUGACUGGCCCCAUUACACGUUUACUCUGGACUCUUAACUUGUUUUAAUUUAUCUUCAUUCAACUUUUUCUGCUAACACAGCUUCAGCUGUGGUUGCACUGCUGAAAAUGAGUGACGCAGGUGUCCUUUACCACAGGGGCACAUGUAACAUAUUCAAAUACACACACGUGCACACACAACCUCUUACAUUCAUUCAUGUCCACUACUUGGGACCCUUUGUGAUUAGUAAGGAGAGAGAGAGUUAAUUGCUAGCAAGAGGACAUAAUCAACGCCUUAAUGAAUGAUUACUUUGAAAUUGGGCUCACGUUUCUUUCAUGUGAAAACAUGACAGAGCGUGAGAACUGAGCUGAGAGACAACAGUUUAAGCACAUAGGCAGGUGCACAAUGUAGUAGAUCAAUGGUUAUAAGCCACACACACCAACACAUUCAUAUCUGUACUAGUUUGCAUGUAUCUUGUAUGGUCACCUAGACUGAAUAAACAGCACAGACCCUGUGUAUUGUUUUAACACAAGGGGUCUGGAGUUGUUUUUCCCUUGUAGAUUUUCAUAGUUGGCACCCCUUUAGACAGAAAAGAGGAUCAUUGUUUCAGGUACCACAGAGAGAGGUUGUUUUAGUCCCCAUGUCUCACUGUCAGCAUUUUGCCAAUUUUAUUUCAUGCAGAGGAAAGUUUUGUUGUCAUUCCUCCACAUACUGAUGAGCCUGAAAUGAAUUUGUUUAAUCAUGAAACUAGACAGUUAAACAAACCUUUGAAGUACAAUUCAACAUUAUAUCAGGAUGGCAAAGUCUUUACAGACAGAAGAAUGGGGACUGAAAUGACCUUCUGACCUUAACGCGGUCCUCUUCAGAAGGGACCACUGCAGUCGAACAGUUUGUCUUUGGUAGCGUUUCUUCAGAUUCUUCCGGCACCGUAGAAGUGUUUCAUACCGGUCUUAUAGUGGUCUUAGUGCAUUAGUUUUGGGCCAGCAUCUCCUGGCUUUAGUUUCUGAAUUCUCUGUGAUCAGUGAGAGAGGUCUGCCAUGUGGCUGUUCAUGGCUGGCCAUCACUUUGAUAAAAAAGUAUUCUUUGAACUUUGUUACAGUGUGUCAUGCCCGCAAGAGGUAUGUGAUAUUGCAGGUUUAUUUCUUAGCACAUGUUUUUGUGAAUCAUUUUUUGGGGAUAUUUUAUUAUUGUAUCUGCGCCA
ensembl:lncRNA